CGAGUCGAACGAGAAAGCUCUCUUCGGAGAGUGAGUACAGUGGCGAACGGGUGAGUAACACGUGGGUAAUCUGCCCUCAGGUUGGGAACAACACUUCUAACGAGGUGCUAAUACCGAAUAAUAAGGCCGAUUGCAGGAUCGGUUUUUAAAGGUGGCCUCUACUUGUAAGCUGCCGCCUGAGGAUGAGCCCGCGUCGUAUUAGCUUGUUGGUGGGGUAAUGGCCUACCAAGGCAACGAUGCGUAGCCGGCCUGAGAGGGUGAACGGCCACACUGGAACUGAGACAAGGUCCAGUCUCCUACGGGAGCCAGCAGUCUAGAAAUUUGCACAAUCGUCGAAAGGCGGAUGCAGCGACACCACGUGGAGGAUGAAGCCCCUCGGGGUGUAAACUCCUGUCAGUUGGGAAGAAGGCGCGNGUGUUAAUACCACUUGUUGCUUGACGGUACCUUCAGAGGAAGCUCCGGCUAACUACGUGCCAGCAGCCGCGGUAAUACGUAGGGAGCGAGCGUUGUUCGGAUUUACUGGGCGUAAAGAGCACGUAGGCGGGCAUGCAAGUCGGUUGUGAAAUCCUCUGGCUCAACCAGAGAACUGCAAUCGAAACUGCAUGCCUUGAGUCCAGCAGAGGAAAUCGGAAUCUUAGGUGUAGCGGUGAAAUGCGUAGAUAUCUAAGAGAACAUCAGUGGCGAAGGCGGAUUUCUGGGCUGGCACUGACGCUGAGGUGCGAAAGCUGAGGUAGCGAACAGGAUUAGAUACCCUGGUAGUCUCAGCCGUAAACGAUGGGUACUAGGUGUUGGGGGACAUUGACCCCCUCAGUGCCGUAGCUAACGCAUUAAGUACCCCGCCUGGGGAGUACGGCCGCAAGGCUGAAACUCAAAGGAAUUGACGGGGACCCGCACAAGCAGUGGAGCAUGUUGCUUAAUUCGANGCAACGCGAAGAACCUUACCAGGGCUUGACAUCUGGGGAACCU
rnacentral:rRNA from 1 species